rnacentral:rRNA from 1 species
GACAGAGGGGGCAAGCGUUGCUCGGAAUUACUGGGCGUAAAGGGCGCGUAGGCGGGAUGGCAAGUCGGUCGUGAAAUCCCUCGGCUCAACUGAGGAGCGUCGAUCGAAACUGCCGUUCUUGAGGGUUGCAGAGGAGACUGGAAUUCCCGGUGUAGCGGUGAAAUGUGUAGAGAUCGGGAGGAACACCGGUGGCGAAGGCGGGUCUCUGGACAGUUCCUGACGCUGAGGCACGAAGGUCAGGGGAGCAAACGGG